rnacentral:rRNA from 1 species
UGGGGAAUUUUGGACAAUGGGCGCAAGCCUGAUCCAGCCAUGCCGCGUGCAGGAUGAAGGCCUUCGGGUUGUAAACUGCUUUUGUACGGAACGAAAAGACUCCUUCUACUAAAGGGGGUCCAUGACGGUACCGUAAGAAUAAGCACCGGCUAACUACGUGCCAGCAGCCGCGGUAAUACGUAGGGUGCAAGCGUUAAUCGGACUUACUGGGCGUAAAGCGUGCGCAGGCGGUUAUGCAAGACAGAGGUGAAAUCCCCGGGCUCAACCUGGGAACUGCCUUUGUGGCUGCAUAGCUAGAGUACGGUAGAGGGGGAUGGAAUUCCGCGUGUAGCAGUGAAGUGCGUAGAUAUGCGGAGGAACACCGAUGGCGAAGGCAAUCCCCUGGACCUGUACUGACGCUCAUGCACGAAAGCGUGGGGAGCAAACA